rnacentral:rRNA from 1 species
GUCUGGUGGCGAGUGGCCCCUACUGAGAGUAAUAUAUCGGAACGUGCCCAGUCGUGGCUGAUAACGUAGUGAAAAUUACGCUAAUACCGCAUACGAUCUAUGGAUGAAAGCGGGGGAUCGCAAGACCUCGCGCGAUUGGAGCGGCCGAUAUCAGAUUAGGUAGUUGGUGGGGUAAAGGCUCACCAAGCCAACGAUCUGUAGCUGGUCUGAGAGGACGACCAGCCACACUGGAACUGAGACACGGUCCAGACUCCUACGGGAGGCAGCAGUGGGGAAUUUUGGACAAUGGACGCAAGUCUGAUCCAGCCAUUCCGCGUGCAGGACGAAGGCCUUCGGGUUGUAAACUGCUUUUGUACAGAACGAAAAGGUCUCUAUUAAUACUAGGGGCUCAUGACGGUACUGUAAGAAUAAGCACCGGCUAACUACGUGCCAGCAGCCGCGGUAAUACGUAGGGUGCAAGCGUUAAUCGGAAUUACUGGGCGUAAAGCGUGCGCAGGCGGUUAUGUAAGACAGAGGUGAAAUCCCCGGGCUCAACCUGGGAACUGCCUUUGUGACUGCAUAGCUGGAGUGCGGCAGAGGGGGAUGGAAUUCCGCGUGUAGCAGUGAAAUGCGUAGAUAUGCGGAGGAACACCGAUGGCGAAGGCAAUCCCCUGGGCCUGCACUGACGCUCAUGCACGAAAGCGUGGGGAGCAAACAGGAUUAGAUACCCUGGUAGUCCACGCCCUAAACGAUGUCAACUGGUUGUUGGGUCUUCACUGACUCAGUAACGAAGCUAACGCGUGAAGUUGACCGCCUGGGGAGUACGGCCGCAAGGUUGAAACUCAAAGGAAUUGA